rnacentral:rRNA from 1 species
CCUACGGGAUGCUGCAGUCGAGAAUCAUUCACAAUGGGGGAAACCCUGAUGGUGCGACGCCGCGUGGGGGAAUGAAGGUCUUCGGAUUGUAAACCCCUGUCAUGUGGGAGCAAAUUAAAAAGAUAGUACCACAAGAGGAAGAGACGGCUAACUCUGUGCCAGCAGCCGCGGUAAUACAGAGGUCUCAAGCGUUGUUCGGAAUCACUGGGGGUAAAGCGUGCGUAGGCUGUUUCGUAAGUCGUGUGUGAAAGGCGCGGGCUCAACCCGCGGACGGCACAUGAUACUGGGGGACUAGAGUAAGGGAGGGGGAACCGGAAUUCUCGGUGUAGCAGUGAAAUGCGUAGAUAUCGAGAAGAACACUCGUGGCGAAGGCAGGUUCCUGGACAUUAACUGACGCUGAGGCACGAAGGCCAGGGGAGCGAAAGGGAUUAGAUACCCUGGUAGUC